GCUCCGUUAUAUUUGAUAUAGACACCAUAGAAUGAUACCCUAGUUCUAUGCAACUGUC
rnacentral:sRNA from 20 species